AAGAAGACUUUCCUGCUUUUGCAGUUUAAACAACGCAAGCCAGUUAUUUACUCUGGGAUACAGGUGACUGAACUUAUAAAAAUCACUGCAGGACAAGAUGUAUUGAGGCCUGGCAUGGAAUGACAAAUUCUGCUGCUUCAUUUCUUAUAGACCGUCCUAGAAAUAUGAUUGACUGGUGUUACAUUUUAGCAAAAAGAAUGUGCUAUAUGGACCAAGCUGCACCCAGGAAUAAGGGACACAAAGUGCAUUCAACAAGUCAUGCAUAGGAUGUAUAUUGGAUGUACUAUGUGCUAUAAGGAAAUAGACCUGAACAGGAUGGAAAGAAGAUGGUGUUCAUGACAAGAAAAGAAAUAGUUAGAUUAGGGCAGAGGAAAGACUGUUGGAUUGAACAACAGAUACUGUUAAACUGGUGAGAAUAGAGUUGUCUUGAGGAACAGCUGCAAAAAUGUACUGAAAAAACCUUGAAAUUACAAAUAUGGCCCACAAAGUCCCACCCUUAGACAAGCAAAGAAUAAGGCACAUGGCGGAGGCAUUUGAAGACCUCCAUGAAAAAAACCAGACUUGGUUAGGGCCGGCUAGCCUCACCAGCCCAAUCACAUGAUGGGGCCAAAGCAACAAACUAUUUGAGGCUGUGGCUUUUAUAAAACAGGUAAACAAUAAAAAUUGAAUAAAAUACAAUCUUCAAUGAGCACAUUAAAACCUGUUUCUUCUUUUGCCUGUGGAUUGUAAUGCACACUUUCUAGUACCAAUCUGUGAUUCUCACAAAUAUCUCUAACCUCUCACCUGAAGUGAAAUUUUAAAAAAUUAGGUUUUUUUAAAAAGAAAUCGGCACAAGUUUAAGCAUGCUUUUUUCCGAUCCCCAUGAAAUAAAUCAAAUUCCA
rnacentral:lncRNA from 11 species